UUACAAUCCAAAGGACCAUAUAAAAAUGCUAAAGCUGAAAAAUAUUCCUGCCAGUGUGCGCAACUUAACAUGAUGACUUCUUUAUUUCCAUUCAAAAUAUCAAGCAAAACAACAAAAUCAUCCAAAACUUCCGAAUCAAUAUCCCGAUGUUUCUUAACCACAUGUCUGAGGUUAGCCAAGCGUGAUCGCCACAGUUUCCAUCGUCUUUCAAAAUCGGAAACCGACCUAAUUCUCUUUUGGUGCGUACAAGGGCUGUAACGUAAUAUAUCAAUAAGUUCGUCAACUGUUUCUUUAAGUACAGGCCACUCCUUCGUUAAACCGGACAUCUCGAGGCAUGAUAUAGUUUGUUCAAAAAGUCCACGAAUAGCUGUUUUAUUAACAUAAGGCCAAAAUUCAGGAUGUUGGUAAGGUAUACGAUAAGCCAUGAUUUCGAGUCCAUCAUCGGCAAUAGGCUGUGGAUCAUAGGCAUUUACCCAAUCUAAAAUUCCUGUUGAUAAGGUAUAAGGAGAAGAAGGGGGGAAAUAAAUAGCUUCAGCACAGCGCCAAGCUGAUUCCACUUCCCAUAAAGAAUCCAAAACAGGCUGACAAUCUUUUUCACCCUCGUUAAUACGCGACUGCAACUCCUCUAAAACUUGUAUAAUUUUAGAGCGGAAGAGCGAGCUUAUUUUCCCAUAAAACUGCGUUAACAAAAGCAAAUUUGCCUCGCUGUCCAAGAUAGGAGUCAUAUAGGUAUCUUGUAAUUCUUCCCAUAAUUCAUGCCAUGCGGUCAAAAGGUAAUUUGGUUCAAUUAGAGUAGAAGGAGUACUAAAUUCAUACACCAGAGAUUCUACUUCUUCAAAUUUAUCAGACUUUAACGUAUUUUCGUCAAAUUCUUUGUUAUUAAUGUACGCUAGUCCUUUUCUCAAAAAAGGAUGCAAUUUGAAGGCUACCGUUCGGCCUUUUGAACGCCAGUCAUUCAACUUUCCAUUUUCUAUAGGUGCAUUUUGUAAAUGAUAAACAGGAAGAUCCACUUCAUCCGAAGAUUCCAUAUUGGAAUGUUAGUAGUU